GACGAACGCUGGCGGCGUGCCUAAUACAUGCAAGUAGAACGCUGAAGACUUUAGCUUGCUAAAGUUGGAAGAGUUGCGAACGGGUGAGUAACGCGUAGGUAACCUGCCUACUAGCGGGGGAUAACUAUUGGAAACGAUAGCUAAUACCGCAUAACAGCAUUUAACCCAUGUUAGAUGCUUGAAAGGAGCAAUUGCUUCACUAGUAGAUGGACCUGCGUUGUAUUAGCUAGUUGGUGAGGUAAGGGCUCACCAAGGCGACGAUACAUAGCCGACCUGAGAGGGUGAUCGGCCACACUGGGACUGAGACACGGCCCAGACUCCUACGGGAGGCAGCAGUAGGGAAUCUUCGGCAAUGGGGGCAACCCUGACCGAGCAACGCCGCGUGAGUGAAGAAGGUUUUCGGAUCGUAAAGCUCUGUUGUAAGAGAAGAACGUGUGUGAGAGUGGAAAGUUCACACAGUGACGGUAACUAC
rnacentral:rRNA from 1 species